GCGCCCGUAGCUCAACUGGAUAGAGCACCGGCCUUCUAAGCCGGCGGUUGCAGGUUCGAUUCCUGCCGGGCGCGCCA
rnacentral:tRNA from 4 species